rnacentral:rRNA from 1 species
GAUGAACGCUGGCGGCGUGCCUAAUACAUGCAAGUCGAGCGAACGGACGAGAAGCUUUCUUCUCUGAUUUUAGCGGCGGACGGGUGAGUAACACGUGGAUAACCUACCUAUAAUACUGGGAUAACUUCGGGAAACCGGAUCUAAUACCGGAUGAUAUUUUGAACCGCAUUGUUCAAAAGUUAAAGACGGUCUUGCUGUCACUUAUAGAUGGAUCCGCGCUUCAUUAGCUAGUUGGUAAGGUAACGUCUUACCAAGGCAACGAUGCAUAGCCGAACUGAGAGGGUGAGCGGCCACACUGGAACUGAGACACGGUACAGAAUCCGACGGGAGGAAGCAGUAGGGAAUAUGCCGCAAUGGGCGAAAGCAUGAAGGAGCAAAGCCGCGUGAGUGAUGAAGGUCUUCGGAUCGUAAAACUCUGUUAUUAGGGAAGAACAUAUGUGUAAGUAACUGUGCACAUAUUGACGGUACCUAAUCAGAAAGCAACGGCUAACUACGUG